UAUAUCCAUCAUUUAGUAUUUUCGACCAUGAUUUAGUAUUUUCUACCAAAAAUCUGGGCGAUAAUACUACGACAUAGUAUUUUUACUAUGCGAACUUUGACAGCUCAUAGUAAUUACCUCGUGUCAAAAUUACCAUGCGCAUGAUAUUGUGAUAUUACACAAUUCAUGUUCUUGAAAUUACUAUGCCCAUAGUAAUGUUGAAACAUCGUCAUUCGUGUUGUCGAAAAUACUAUGCUCAAUAUAAAUUCAUAGUAUUUUUACCAAUGUGCAUCGUUUGAGUGUUUGUUUUUUUUCUGGUCAGUCGGUCGCGAUUUCGGAACGCGGACCAAAAUGUUGGGCGGGUACUUCGCUGAGGUGAAUGCGGCUGUUUCGGCUAAUCAGGUGACCAGCCCACUGGGAGUGAAAAAUAGAAUCAGCACUUUUGUCGGGUCGGAAAACGCAGUCUCUCAGCUGUUGCAUCCCGAAAUCCCCCGGUCGUGAGAACCUCCCUCCUGACCAGCCACUGAAAAUUGACGGGGGAAUUGAAGUUUCCAGAAGAUUUUCCUUGCGCCUUUCUGAAUCGUUGGCCUCAAGAUGACUAUGCCAACACAUCCAAAUCGAUUCCAGCGGCAUACAAUAAAUUAUCAAAGUAGAAGCAAACUAUUGUAUCGUGCUUCAAUUAUAAAGUGAAGUGUUGUGAUAAUUGUUUGGAAAAAUAAAAAUGUAAAUCGUAUCAAAAUAAAUUAUUUCUGG